UACGUAGGGGGCAAGCGUUGUCCGGAUUUAUUGGGCGUAAAGAGCGUGUAGGCGGCCAGGUAGGUCUGCUGUGAAAACUCGAGGCUUAACCUCGAGAUGUCGGCGGAAACCAUCUGGCUAGAGUCCGGAAGAGGAGAAUGGAAUUCCCGGUGUAGCGGUGAAAUGCGCAGAUAUCGGGAAGAACACCCGUGGCGAAGGCGGUUCUCUGGGCCGAUGACUGACGCUGAGGAGCGAAAGCGUGGGGAGCGAACAGG
rnacentral:rRNA from 1 species